rnacentral:lncRNA from 12 species
UGCAGAUCUGCUUGGCAGAGCAAGGCAACCUGCUUUAUAAAGUGCUCAACAGGGACCCGGAAGAGAACCCUCACCUUUUCUGUGUCAGUCAUCAGAGCAGAGCAAAGCAACUCUCUCCACAUUUGCCAGCCUUUAGCUGUGGAAGGGAAGCUCACAGAUGAGGACCUGAUUGCCCCCACUAAAAGCAGAGCAGAGCAAAGCAACUCUCUCCACUUUUGCCAGCCUUUAGCUGUGGAAGGGAGCUCACAGAUGAGGACCUGAUUGCCCCCACUCAGGCUGGAGGAGGAGUCCUCAGGUGGGUUAGGUUAGCCUGUGCCAGAAGCUCAGGCUGUUUUAAUUCACCGUACAGCCAAUGCAGAGAGGCCAGGCCUCAGUGUUGAUACUCUGAUGAGAUCCCCCUGUGCUUAGGAGGAGGGGGCAGGUGGAGGCACUCAGGGAAAACAAAGGAAUGGAAGGAACAAGUGUGUUCCAAGUAUAGCUAUAUAAAGCCACUACCUGCUUUUCUUUUUGACUGUGCCUGCUCUAUGUUUGUACUGCCUCCCAUGAGGCCUUCAUUCAACCACUAAGCCUUAGCUGAUAAUUGGCUCCUUCCUCAGCAGCUGGUGAAGGAAGGCAAGAGGCUUUGCAAGGAUUUUCUAUGAGUUGAAGAAAACAUAGUGACAAAAGUCUCUGUAGGAGCCUAUGAGGGGAACAGGACAGCUUUCAGAGGGAACAGGGAAGGGACUCCAAGAGAUCAGCUGGGCAACACCGUCUUGACAAGGUCUGAGGCAGCCAUGACACAGCUGAACGAAUCUUCACCUCAAACAGCCUGCUGUAUCAAGUUUAUAUGGGAGAACUGGGCUAUAAAAACUGCAACUCUGUGCUUCUACAACAGUGCUAAAGUGGCCAGAUGGAUGUCAACCUAGCAAUAUGAGAGUUCCCAAAUCUGUGCAGUGACAUCUGAUGGCAUAUUUAGUGCUGGUGCUCAGAUGGACUUUGCUGCAAUGUUUCUUGAACACAGCUGCUAGUCUGUGAGUUUUCUUUAUUAAUGAAUCACAAAGAGGCACUGGGACUGGAUGUAUAGUUAUAAGUGAUUGCUCUGCAAAUGUAUUUUUUCCUCUUUGGCUUCUAAAUUACCUGCUUAGUAUUUUAGGGUUUGCAAGUUGAUGGAAGGGUUGUACCUAAGGACCAUUUGAGCUUCUGGAAAUCUCUCCCAUAAAGAAGGGGUGAGUUUUGUUUGGGGGGGUUCUGUAGAUGUCUUUCCAGAGCCCGUCAGUCACUUUAUGACCAUAUGUUGGCAUCUGAGGUGAAGAUGGAUUCCAAAAAAUAUGCAAAGCGUGGUACCUGCUUAUGCCUUUA